rnacentral:lncRNA from 1 species
CCCUGCAGCAGCAGCGGCGUGGUCAGAGCGAGCUUCGGAGAAGCAGUGGUGGGUUCCAUGUGAUGGUGGAGUAGGAGGCAGGUCUCCGCGGUUCAUCUGUGUUGCUCUAAAUGACACUGUUUCAUUAUUUUGAUGGCUGGAGAAUAUUUCCUAGUGUAUGUAUAUGAGAGUUUCUUGAUCUCUUUAUCUGUGGAUGAACAGCUACUUUGAAACAUAUGAUACAUUUGUGUUAAGGCUAGUCACCCUGCUGUGGAAUAGAAGGCCAGAAUUGAUCAGUCUCAUCUGAGAGUAACUUUGUACCCAUCACUGAUUCCUUCUGAGACUGCCUCCACUUCCCCAGCAGCCUCUGGUUUCUUCAUGUGGCUGCAGAUGGCAGGAUUUCCCAAAGGUUUCUGGCUGAAACAUAUUCCGUGGUGUAUCUGUACAGCAGUUUCCUCAUCCCUGCAGCUGUGUUUGAACAGGUUCAACAGUAUGGCUCCAAAGGAUGAAAUUUCAUUCUGAUUUUCUGGCUGAAGACUAUUCUCUUUGUGUAUGUCCACCACAGUUACUUUAUCCCUUCAUCUGUGGAUGGGCAGUCUCGCUGUAUUGCCCAGGCUGGAGUGCAGUGGCAUGAUCUCAGCUCACUGCAAGCUCUGCUUCCUGGGUUCACGCCAUUCUCCUGCCUCAGCCUCCUGAGUAGCUGGGAUUACAGGCACCCGCCACCACGCCCAGGAAAGAAAAAAGAAGAAAACAAACCUCCAUACGAGAAUGGGUCUAAAGGAACUUCCCAAACCUCCAUGAUUUUGCAGGAAACAAGAUAAAGCUCCAGGCCAGGAGCCCCAACUGGCUGGUGGAGGAUGUCUUGCUCCUCAGCAGCUGGGAUUUGUAAGUAUUUGUAGGAACAUGGAACAGAUCAGUGGCUGACAGGCCCAGGAAGCAGACAGUCCCCUUCCCAUAGGUCACCAGCUUCACUUCCCCUUCCUGCACCCCAUCCUGAUUUGAGGGAGCCCAGGAUGACAAAGAGGGAGUAGUUGAGCAAGGUAUGGAGUGGCAGCCUCUACAGGAGCUCAAAGGAUGCAUUUGUCCAUCUGCCCUGGGCUCAGCUUCCACACUCAGAGUCACUCACAUCCCUCCACCGUCGCCACAGCUCACCUGUGUGCCCACACGGCCAAGGUCACACUGACCCCAAACGCACACUGUUUCAACUCUCAGCACUUCACUGUCACACUCGCGUGUGUACACACAUGCUUUCUAAUUUCCACAGCCACAUGGAUGCUCACACACUCACACCUUUGCACACACACACAAGCUGGCUCACAGACACACUGGGGGCCCAGAUCCUGGUCAUUCCCCACAGGUCUUAAUAAAGGUUCAUGGAAGGAAACCUGUUUCCUAAGGUAGGGUGGGAGUGUGUGUGAGUGUGUGGGGGGGAGAGGGUGAGAGUGUGUGCGUGUGUUAGUGUGAGUGUGUGUGUAUGUAAGGAGCAGGAGUGACUGGGUCCUGAGUUUAGGGAGUUGGGAAGAGGAAGGAGAGAUGGAGACAAGCCUGGACCAAGAGCCACUCAGAGCUGCCUGGAAGGGAAGCCAGGCUGAGAAAAAGGCAAGGCAAAGAAAUAAGACACUGACAAGGAUCAAGCCAGGGUUGAGUAGGGACUGGGAACAGAGUCUGCCUCCAUGAGAAGCUGUCACAUUGCUGCUCUGGUGCCCUGUGACAGCGGCACCAUCUCCAGCUGGAGACUCCCCUCUCUGGAUCUUGUCAUUGUGACUUUGCUUUGUUGGACAACCAGGAGUGGUGAUAGGCAGGGAAUAUGGUGCCCAGGUCAGCUAGCCAUGCCACGCCAGUCCAGCUGCCAACCCACCCGUCACUGGCCAUCUCAUCACCUGCUGGAGGGAGUGGGGUGGUGCAGAUGAAACCAGCGAUCAGCUUGGCUGCCCUUGCUUCCUAGUGCCACAGUAGAGGCUAGGGGAGCAACUGGCUUUCCUCCCCAAAAGGCGGGCAGGGUUAUCCACACUUUGCCCAGGUCCCUGAAGCCUGCGGCUGAGCUCGGGGAUAACAGGGGCCAAGUCACCGGUCCCAGACACCUAGGAACUAUUAGAGACAGGAACCAGCAUAUGAGACAGGGGCUUUUAAGUAGGAGGUUGGAGAACACACGUUUUUGGUCUAAACCGGGGGCCCCUCUCUUUGCCCACUGAACCCGCGGCCUGCGUGGUGCUGAGACUGCCUCUGGCCGCGUCCGCUUGGGACAGGGCCUGAGCGGUGGCUGAUCCCACCUGGAUGUCCUGGGCCGGCUCCCACCCGACGCCCACCAUCCCGGGACGUGGUGGGGAGAGGCUGGCGCUGCUCCUUGCCAUGCUUGGCGGCCGCUGCUGCCCGGCUGGGGGUCCCGAGUCGCACACGCCCCGCAAGCCCUGGCCACCGACCCGGAGGGAACGCCCUGGGCUACGGUCCCCAAAGCCAAGAGAAGAAGCAGGUCCCAGGGCCGACUCCAAAGCCGCAUCUCCAGCUUUGUUCAUGGGUCCGGGAAGCAGAGGCCGCCGCCGGCCACCGUCGUGGGCGAGAAGAAGGGCACGAGGCGGCCGGGGCUCCUGCCCGGAACCACAUGUGCGCGCCGGGCCCGCUUCUUCAUCGCACUUGCGGCCCCGGCUGCCCGGGGCCUGCGAGUUUCCAGCCAGGGCCCGGGACUCUGGCGCGGUCCGGCCGCGAGGAAGGAAGGCGCGGCCCGGGUGGGGGUAGCGGCAGGCCUGCGGCUCCGGCCACGGGGCGGGGGCAGAAAAACGACCCCGGCGCUGUCCGGGCAUCCAGCUCGGUUCCCGCUGCAGCCAGGAGACUCCCGGGAGCGCUCUAGGAACCACAGAGCCCUGGAAGUCACCUGGCAGCCUCGCGGCGCUAAAGCCGGCGGAGCCUGAGACAGCGCGCGGCGAGGCGGUCACGCUCCACCCCCGCGUGGCAGCAGGACUCGGAUUUCGCCCCUGGUUUUAAAAUUGUGCCGGUGGAGCCCGGGACGCUGGGAAGAGCGUUCUGCGCCCCUCCAGUCGCGGUCUCCGCCCUAAACCGACUUCCAGAGCCGCCUCUGCUCCCUGGAGGGGCGCAGUGGCGGACACCGGCGUCCCACGAAGUCGCAGGUCCUCAGUCUGAGGGCUGCCCCGCACGCUCGGAAUGCAGGAGGGUCUCCGCCUCGCUGCGCUGCCCCUGGGGGCGGAGGCGUGCGCUGCAGGCGAGAGAGGCGGCCCGGUAUCGAUGGAGAAGCACAGAGGGCUUUGAGGUCGCAACGUCCCGGUUGCUGAGCGGAGUCGGGAGUCAGGUUCCAAAGGGACAGCGCUCAGGGUUGUAAUCACCACCCGGCCCACCGCUUCCGCAGCUGCGAGUCUAGGGCGGAGCUGUUGGGUGGACCGAGCAGGCGAGGCGCAGGCAGGCAGCGGCUCCGCCUCGGAAUCCGCCUCGACCGGGGCCCAGGUGCCCGCCCCACCUGUCCCUCGGUCACCCCAACCCUGUUUCCUCGACCCCCAGCACUCCUCCAGGCCUAGUUCGCUUCAGAAGCGCAAGACCCGGAAAACAAGGAAGAAGCGAGCUCAGCCUCAAUCCCCGUCCCCACCCCACUUUCGGGACCGCUACGCUGGAGAAUUGAAGGGGGCGGACCCCGGAUUAAAGCCGCUCCCUUCCCAGCCUCGCCCCGCUUUCCUAAUGUCCGUGAUGAUUUCGUUAUUGGCAGGGAAGAGCCAGGCUCCCUGCGCUCCCAAGACGGGGCGAUUGGGAGGGGGUUCUGGAGCUCACGCCUGGGGUCGGCCCGGCGGGGGUGACCCCGCGCCCUCGCCGGUGCAAGGAGAACAGGUGGUUCCCGCCGGGGCAGGGAAGCGUGGACGGUGUGGGCUCAGGCGCCUGGCAGGCACGCGGGGCCUCUAAAGCUUGGUCGCUGUCACAGAUCGUGUGGUUGUUUCUUCCGUCCCCGCCACGCCUUCCUCCUGGGAUGGGGAUUCAUUCCCUAGCAGGUGUCGGAGAACUGGCGCCCUUGCAGGGUAGGCGCCCCGGAGCCUGAGGCGGGAACUUUAAAAUCAGACGCUUGGGGGCCGGGCUGGGAAAAACUGGCGGAAAAUAUUAUAACUGAACUCUCAAUGCCAGCUGUUGUAGAACCUCCUGGGACAAGCGGUGGAAGUCCCCUCAGGAGGCUUCCGCGAUGUCCUAGGUGGCUGCUCCGCCCGCCACGGUCAUUUCCAUUGACUCACACGCGCCGCCUGGAGGAGGAGGCUGCGCUGGACACGCCGGUGGCGCCUUUGCCUGGGGGAGCGCAGCCUGGAGCUCUGGCGGCAGCGCUGGGAGCGGGGCCUCGGAGGCUGGGCCUGGGGACCCAAGGUUGGGCGAGGCGCAGGAGAUGGGCUCAGGGUUCUCCAGAGAAUCCCCAUGAGCUGACCCGCAGGGCGGCCGGGCCAGUAGGCACCGGGCCCCCGCGGUGACCUGCGGCCCCGAAGCUGGAGCAGCCACUGCAAAUGCUGCGCUGACCCCAAAUGCUGUGUCCUUUAAAUGUUUUAAUUAAGAAUAAUUAAUAGGUCCGGGUGUGGAGGCUCAAGCCUUAAUCCCCAGCACCUGGCGAGGCCGAGGAGGGAGGAUCCCUUGAGCCCAGAGGUUCGAGACUAGCCUGGGCAACACAGUCAGACUCCAUCCUUCCAAAACAAACAAACGAAAAUAAAACAAACAGAAAACG